GGUGAUCCCGAGCAAUAUCAGCUGUACAUCCUUCGCAGCUAUACUCACUGGUCUUAGGAAACCUUUGGAAUCCUUGCCACUACACCGUUCACAUGAUGUGAGAUCAGCCAUAGCUUCAUUCAAGGAGACUUUCCCACGUUGCGCAAUUGCAGAGUCCUUGAUGUGCAAACAGACCUUGGUUGAU